rnacentral:misc_RNA from 1 species
AAAAAACAAUGGGUGCAAAUUUAGCAAAUUUAAAAAUUUAAAACCCUAAAAUUUCAUGCAACAUGCAAGUUUCUUUAUGCUAUUGUAAAAACACAUAUUUUAUGUUACAACAUUUAUAACUCAAUUUUUAAAAAGCCUAUUUGCCAUUGGGAAACUUAAAACUUUUAAAUUAUUAAAAUAAAAUUAAGGACUGUACCCGUAUGGAUGUAGAAUCACAUUCAACACUUAAUCCGGGAAGCUUAGAUCGUAAAAAGUUGAUCCUCUAGUCCGUCCACACAAACAAGAUGACAAAGCACCAAUUUCCAACCAAAACUCCUAUUGUGCUUCCUCUUCUUGUCUUGACCAAGUUUGCACAAAGAUGAAGUUUAAGGUUUUCUAGGUUUUUUAACUUAUGGAAGUAUAGAGAAACAAUUUCUCUACCUUUAAUUUAAGAGUGACAAAU